rnacentral:rRNA from 1 species
CCACACCUAAAACUUUCCACGUGAACUGUCUGUAUUUGUUUUGUGUGUGCGCGUUGCUGGCGUGCGUCUGCUUUGCAUGAAUGUGCGUUGCGGGUGCGUGCUGGCGGUGCGCGGACUAAACGAAGGUUGGUUGUCUGUGCGUCUGCGGAUCUGCUGUGCUGAGCUUCAUUGUUUGGCGUGGCGGGUGUUGCGGGUGCUAUUUUGACCGGCUGACUUAUUUUUUCAAACCCCAUACCUAAAUGACUGAUUAUACUGUGAGAACGAAAGUUCUUGCUUUUAACUAGAUAACAACUUUCAGCAGUGGAUGUCUAGGCUCGCACAUCGAUGAAGAACGCUGCGAACUGCGAUACGUAAUGCGAAUUGCAGAAUUCAGUGAGUCAUCGAAAUUUUGAACGCAUAUUGCACUUCCGGGUUAUGCCUGGAAGUAUGUCUGUAUCAGUGUCCGUAAAUCAAACUUGCCUUUCUUCCUUCCGUGUAGUCGGUGGAGGAGAGUUGCAGAGAUGAAGUGUCUCGCUUUGGUUGGUAUAUUUUUAUACACACAGCUAGCGAGUCCUUUUAAAUGGACACGACUUUCUCUUUUUUGUAUCUGCGAGGUGCUGUGCCUGAACGCGGUGAUUUUCGGAUCGCUCGCGGCUGGUGGCGACUUCGGUGAAUGCGUUAUGGAGUGGACCUCGAUUCGCGGUAUGUUGGGCUUCGGCUGGACAAUGUUGCUUAUUGGGUGUUUGUUCCGCGUUCGCCUUGAGGUGUACUGUCGGCUGUGGGAUUGAUUUGUUAGUUGUSGUUAGUAGAGCGCGAUUCCUUGUCGUGGGUGCAUCUGUUGUGUAUGUAUUUACAUUYCAGAAGAGGAGUUUCAAUUUGGGAAAUUAGUGUACUGCGGGUUUAUCCUGCGUGUAUAUCUCAAUUGGACCUGAUAUCAGACAAGACUACCC